CACAUGCACACCUACGUAAAGUAUUUCAA
rnacentral:piRNA from 1 species